rnacentral:rRNA from 1 species
AUUGAACGCUGGCGGCAUGCCUUACACAUGCAAGUCGAACGGCAGCACGGGAGCAAUCCUGGUGGCGAGUGGCGAACGGGUGAGUAAUAUAUCGGAACGUGCCCAGUCGUGGGGGAUAACGUAGCGAAAGCUACGCUAAUACCGCAUACGAUCUAUGGAUGAAAGCGGGGGGAUCGCAAGACCUCGCGCGAUUGGAGCGGCCGAUAUCAGAUUAGGUAGUUGGUGAGGUAAAGGCUCACCAAGCCGACGAUCUGUAGCUGGUCUGAGAGGACGACCAGCCACACUGGGACUGAGACACGGCCCAGACUCCUACGGGAGGCAGCAGUGGGGGAAUUUUUGGGACAAUGGGCGCAAGCCUGAUCCAGCAAUGCCGCGUGCAGGAUGAA